CCACAGUCCUAUUGUCGGCAGCAUCUUGCUUUCCACUGAAUGUCUAACGCGCUAGUUAAAUCAGGGAACAUACGCACAGCUUGCAUGCUAUCAGUAAGUUAAGGAGCCAUAUGACCAAUAUAAAUGGUCGACAUCGCUAUAAAACGAUAACUAUUGACGUCCGUUAGUCGUCUUUGCCCUCUAUAAAAGGUCCACCGUGAUAUGCUGCACGGGGCAUGAGUUUUUGCGCAACGUGCGCGUAAGUCGCGUCUGGAUGGCAGUGUUGUGCGCGUAUUGAAGUCCCGUCAUUCUGAUGUGAUGUGAUUCGCAAAGCAAACAUUUGGACGCAAACUCAGCUACUCUGCUUCUGCGCCAGUGUUAAAGUGUCUUAACUCUUCCCCCUGGUACCAUUUCAGAUGUGACAGCUGAAGCAGAGCAUGCCCCAAUGGUUGUGUCCCGAAAUAGCCCUGGCCAAUCACAGCUCACUCCUCUCAACAUGCUGGACAUUACCACUAUAGAGCGAGAGAGAGAGUCAGGGAGGUCUGUUUUGUUUAACCCUUCUUACCCAACAGGGCCAUGUCUUACUCGUAAAAUAGGAUUAGAGAGUGGAGAACUAGGAGGAAAAGCAUAGUAAAACAAAUGCGGAAAAUAAUAAUAGUAAUAAUAAUAAUAUCAUAUAUAUUUAUAUUUAUACACAUCCCCCAACCGUUUCUCAUAUCCUCUAUGAAACCACAACAUAUAACAGUAGCUGACUCACUUUAAGGACCCCAUGAGUGAUGUGUUGGUUCUCAAUGCAGAAGACAUCAACAUCAAUGUAGCCAGCUUUUUGUAUUUUACUUUUAUGGAGUGAUGUGGGGAUACAGAUGUUGAAUACAAAUGUCAUAUAACUCCCGCCAAGCAUGGGGGAAUUGAGGUCAGGAGAUGUGUUCCCCUGCCAGAUCUCCAGGGCAGUGAGGGCUAGCCAGAGUUAGAAUGUCAACACAGAAGAUGAAUCGCCACCGCAACCCGGCUCCAUCCCGCUUUCUGAGAACCAAUGUGGGAUCAUGGAAAAGCCAUGUGUUUAUUAUUUAUGCUGCAUGCCUCUUUCCCGCUGAACGACUUCUAGUAUUAAGUAUUUUAGCUACAAACUGUUUUCUUUUGUUUUGUAUAUUUUUUUGGCCAAUUACCCUUUCUCGGAUGUGACCAUUGCAGCCGGUGCCAGAUAAAAA
ensembl:lncRNA